UUUGCAUUAUGUUUUGAGUUGCUCUUUUUGUAAAUUUUCCAACUUUGAGAUAAAAUUCUAUUUCUAGGUUGUAAUUUAAGAACUUUGGUCUUGAUCUAAACUAAGCAGAGCUGGUAUGGCUCGGUUCUUUUAAGAAAUCAGUUCAGUUCUAAAAGGGUGAAGAACUUUGGUGGUGAAAACUCUGGAGUUGCUGACGAUGAAGAACUCUAGUGGUG
rnacentral:misc_RNA from 1 species